CCCGGCUGGGAGACCUGGCUCAUCGACGCCGCUGCCUCCUUCCAGGACAGCAAAUUGAUAGUUUUGGGACUCUUGUAGCAAGUGUAGUUUGCCAUCUCUUCGCUUGAUCAGCCUGACGGUGGAGCUGUGGAGGAGGCGCAGGCGUGCU